GACGAACGCUGGCGGCGUGCUUAACACAUGCAAGUCGAACGAAGUGGCGACCGGGUGAGUACCGCGUAAUCAACCUGCCCUUCAGAGGGGGACAACAGUUGGAAACGACUGCUAAUACCCCAUACUGAGGGAGGGGAUUGCGUCUGAUUAGCUAGUUGGAGGGGUAACGGCCCACCAAGGCGAUGAUCAGUAGCCGGUCUGAGAGGAUGAACGGCCACAUUGGGACUGAGACACGGCCCAGACUCCUACGGGAGGGAGCAGUGGGGAAUCUUCCGAAAUGGACGAAAGUCUGACGGAGCAACGCGGCGUGAGUGAGGACGGCCUUCGGGUGGGAAAGCGCUUUUAAUCGGGACGCGGUACCGGAAUAGAAAGCCACGGCUAACUACGUGCCAGCAGCCGAGGUAAUAC
rnacentral:rRNA from 1 species